GGAGGCAGCUAACCACGGUAGGGUCAGCGACUGGGGUGAAGUCGUAACAAGGUAGCCGUAGGGGAACCUGCGGCUGGAUCACCUCCUUUCUAAGGAAGCCGAUUUUAGCAAGGGUGGCCGUAUGGCCCGCCUGGAUGCCCUUCGAGCGCAAGCGAGAAGGACAAGCUAUCCAGGCCACGCAAAAUCCGCUUUUUAGAACAUAGAUGGCACCAGUCAGGUGACCAUCGAAACGUAAUACGCCGCGAUGACUUCGGUCACGACGGUAUGGCGAGCUUUCGCCGUCCACGUUUCUCUUUCUUCAAAAGGAUAUCGAACCAUGGGUUUGCGCUCGCGCGCUGUUCGCACCUUCGGUGCUGCGCUCCGCGAGGGCGCCGGACGACCGGCGACGGCCUCUGGCCUGUAUGGACGACCCUUUCCGAGGUUUUGCUUAGGAUUGGCGUCGAUGCAGAGAGAUGGGCCCGUAGCUCAGUUGGUUAGAGCACACGCUUGAUAAGCGUGGGGUCGGAAGUUCAAGUCUUCCCGGGCCCACCAUUUGCACCAGCAAAUGAGGUUUGCUGGUGCGAAUUGUGGUUUGUUUGGGUUUACCUGAUCCUGGCGGUUUGCUGUCAGGUGUUUGCGAUGGUUGGGGCUGUAGCUCAGCUGGGAGAGCACCUGCUUUGCAAGCAGGGGGUCAGCGGUUCGAUCCCGCUCAGCUCCACCAAAUCCUGUCCUGACGCUGUCGCGCUCUUCGAGCGCACGCUCCGGACGGGCCGGCCAAUGAUGGCCGACGGCCUCUGGCCUGUAUUUGGAUCGUUGCUGGCGGCGAAAAAGAUAUCCUUUGAAGAAAUAAAAGUUUUGCAUCGGCUUAUGGCUGCUGCGUGUUCUGCAUACAUUGUGAAGAGAAGAUUGAUCUGGAGGCUUCCAGGUGUUUUGGGUUUUACCCAAGGCGUCCGAGCCCAGUUCUGAUGAUCCCAUGAAUGGCCUAGCCGGCCGGAUAUGGGUGAAGGACUGGAGGUAGGAGGGAAGCUUGUCACUCUGGAUCGUUUGUUGUUCGUUGCCUUUGGGCUUCGUCUGAUGAACGAUCGGAUUACCGUUGCCUGACCGCGCGGUAUCGGAUCAUAUCUCGAGAAGCUGGUCUUA
rnacentral:misc_RNA from 1 species